AUUGAACGCUGGCGGCAUGCUUUACACAUGCAAGUCGAACGGUAACAGGGAGCUUGCUCCGCUGACGAGUGGCGAACGGGUGAGUAAUGCGUCGGAACGUGCCGAGUAGUGGGGGAUAACGCAUCGAAAGGUGUGCUAAUACCGCAUACGUACUGAGGUAGAAAGUGGGGGACCUUCGGGCCUCACGCUAUUCGAGCGGCCGACGUCUGAUUAGCUAGUUGGUGAGGUAAAGGCUCACCAAGGCGACGAUCAGUAGCGGGUCUGAGAGGAUGAUCCGCCACACUGGGACUGAGACACGGCCCAGACUCCUACGGGGGGCAGCAGUGGGGAAUAUUGGACAAUGGGGGGAACCCUGAUCCAGCCAUGCCGCGUGUGUGAAGAAGGCCUUAUGGUUGUAAAGCACUUUAAGCGAGGAGGAGGCUCUUUUGGUUAAUACCCAGAAUGAGUGGACGUUACUCGCAGAAUAAGCACCGGCUAACUCUGUGCCAGCCGCCGCCGUAACAC
rnacentral:rRNA from 1 species